UUCUCCCCCUUUGUUAUUCAAUUCAACAUAAUUUUAGCAUCAUAACUUUAGCUUUCAGCUUUGAUCAUCUUAAUCGUCUUAAUAAUCUUAAUAAUCUUUAUUUUCAUUCAUAUCUCUCCCCCUUUUUAUCAUUAUUAAAAAGUAGGGACAAGCUUGUAAUUAUCACAAUUAAUUAAAUUUUAAGUGAUUUAUCAUUAGCAGAGCAUUUUGCAAUUAUCAUCAACUUGUUGUCCAAUCAAUAUAUAACUAUCACAUAGCAUUAUACAUUGAAUUGUUUAGGCAAUCAUAAUAAUAUUCAAGCAAGUUAACUUAUAAUAUAAGAUUA
rnacentral:lncRNA from 1 species